UAACUUCAUGGUGAGAAUCCGUUCGGA
rnacentral:sRNA from 1 species